AAAUGGUUACUAUUUUUAAUUAAUUUAUGGUUUUCUCUUUCUCUUUUAUCGAUAGCGUACUAGGCCCCUCUCUCUCUCAUUCUCGCAUUCCUUCUUGUCGCCUCAACUUCUUCAUCGCGGUGUUGCGGGUGCUAGGAUUUUUCUGGGAAAUGGAGAUUUUUAGAGAGCGAAGCAAGGGGAAGGCCUUUUUGUAACAUCACUUCACUGCGGAGGGAGGCAACAUGCAAUCGUUAGCUUAAGUGGCUGUGAACAGUUGAAGUGGCUAACCCUACACCAAGGCCUUCUUCUCCGCAAACCCUAUAGUUGCUGCCACUGCCGUUGCAUCCUGUUAUCCAUCCCUCGCUUCUUACUUUUUCUUUUGGUAAAUGUUUCUCAAAGAUGACAUGGAAGCAUUGCUUGCUUGAGGGACGCUUUUGUCUCAAAGGAGUUGGAAUUUUCUGGACAAAAUAUGUUCCUUUCUCCCUCAAUAUACAGUUUCGCUUUGUUGUAACGGGAAAUAUGUUCUGCACAGACUUAAGGCUAAUACCUGAACCACAGCUUCUACCUGGAACCAUCUUGGCGAGGGUCUCUACUAAAGCAGAUUGAAAUAGACAACAAAUUUUUGGAAGCACAACAAAUUAUGGACUAGCAAUGCUUGCAGAGGAAGCACAUCAAUAAAAUAAAGAAGGUCAAGUGCCAUGUACUUGUAAUACAUAGAAUGCUCAAGUUAUGGUCCUUGCAGCAACUUAUCGUCCUUCAGAACUUGAUGAAGCAAUACUUCAGCAUCUUCCUCAAGCCUUUGAAAUUGGAGUUCCAGACCAAAGGGAGAGGAUUGAAAUAUUGAAAGUUGUCUUAAAGGGUGAGAGGGUUGAAGACAACAUAGACUUUGGUCAUAUAGCUGGCUUGUGUGAGGGUUACACUAGUUUAGAUCUAUUUGAUCUUUGCAAGAAAGCUACCUAUUUUCCUAUUAUAGAACUACUGGAUGAAGAAAAGAAAGGAAAACGAUCUCAUGUUAGUAUAUUUAAGUCAUUCUCUUUUAUUUUCUUCUGUCUCAAUUUUUUCAUUUUCCUAACAACUAUGUUACCUACUGCUGAGUUGACUAGAAUUCCAUAUCAAUUUCAGUUUCUAUUAACUAGAAAGGAACAAAUCAAUCGAGCGUGUCUAUUUUAUAUAAAACCAUUGUAUG